UACGGGGGGGGCAAGCGUUGUUCGGAAUUACUGGGCGUAAAGGGCUUGUAGGUGGCCAACUAAGUCAGACGUGAAAUCCCUCGGCUUAACCGGGGAACUGCGUCUGAUACUGGAUGGCUUGAGGUUGGGAGAGGGACGCGGAAUUCCAGGUGUAGCGGUGAAAUGCGUAGAUAUCUGGAGGAACACCGGUGGCGAAGGCGGGUCACUGGGCUGAUACUGACGCUGAAGUGCGAAAGCCAGGGGAGCGAACGGG
rnacentral:rRNA from 1 species